rnacentral:rRNA from 1 species
AACCUGGUUGAUCCUGCCAGUAGUCAUAUGCUUGUCUCAAAGAUUAAGCCAUGCAUGUCUAAGUACAAGCCUCACUAAGGUGAAACCGCGAAUGGCUCAUUAAAUCACACCUAAUCUACUGGAUAGUAAAAAGUUACUUGGAUAACUGCGGUAAUUCUGGAGCUAAUACAUGCACAAAGCCUCAACCUUACGGGAGAGGUGCUUUUAUUAGAUCAAAACCAAACGGCUUCGGCUGUACUCUUGGUGACUCUGAAUAACUUUGGGCUGAUCGCAUAGCCUUGCGCUGGCGACAUAUCCUUCGAAGGUGUGCCCUAUCAACUGUCGACUGUGGCAUAGACGCCCACAGUGGUUUUGACGGGUAACGGGGAAUCAGGGUUCGAUUCCGGAGAGGGAGCCUUAAAAACGGCUACCACAUCUAAGGAAGGCAGCAGGCACGCAAAUUACCCAAUGACCG